GGCGUGCCUAACACAUGCAAGUCGGGCGAAGCGAUUUAGCGGUAGUUUUCGGAUGGAAGUUAAAUUGACUGAGCGGCGGACGGGUGAGUAACGCGUGGGUAACCUGCCUCAUACAGGGGGAUAACAGUUAGAAAUGACUGCUAAUACCGCAUAAGCGCACAGCAUCGCAUGAUGCAGUGUGAAAAACUCCGGUGGUAUGAGAUGGACCCGCGUCUGAUUAGCUAGUUGGUGAGGUAAAGGCCCACCAAGGCGACGAUCAGUAGCCGACCUGAGAGGGUGAUCGGCCACAUUGGGACUGAGACACGGCCCAAACUCCUACGGGAGGCAGCAGUGGGGAAUAUUGCACAAUGGGGGAAACCCUGAUGCAGCAACGCCGCGUGAGUGAAGAAGUAUUUCGGUAUGUAAAGCUCUAUCAGCAGGGAAGAAAAUGACGGUACCUGACUAAGAAGCCCCGGCUAACUACGUGCCAGCAGCCGCGGUAAUACGUAGGGGGCAAGCGUUAUCCGGAUUUACUGGGUGUAAAGGGAGCGUAGACGGCGAAGCAAGUCUGAAGUGAAAGCCCGGGGCUUAACCCCGGGACUGCUUUGGAAACUGUUUUGCUAGAGUGCUGGAGAGGUAAGUGGAAUUCCUAGUGUAGCGGUGAAAUGCGUAGAUAUUAGGAGGAACACCAGUGGCGAAGGCGGCUUACUGGACAGUAACUGACGUUGAGGCUCGAAAGCGUGGGGAGCAAACAGGAUUAGAUACCCUGGUAGUCCACGCGGUAAACGAUGAAUGCUAGGUGUUGGGGAGCAAAGCUCUUCGGUGCCGUCGCAAACGCAUAAGCAUUCCACCUGGGGAGUACGUUCGCAAGAAUGAAACUCAAGGGAAUUGACGGGGACCCCGCACAAGCGGGUGGAGCAUGUGGUUUAAUUCGAAGCAACGCGAAGAACCUUACCAAGUCUUGACAUCCUUCUGACCGGCGCGUAACGGCGCCUUCUCUUCGGAGCAGGAGUGACAGGUGGUGCAUGGUUGUCGUCAGCUCGUGUCGUGAGAUGUUGGGUUAAGUCCCGCAACGAGCGCAACCCUUAUCCUUAGUAGCCAGCAGUAAGAUGGGCACUCUAGGGAGACUGCCAGGGAUAACCUGGAGGAAGGUGGGGAUGACGUCAAAUCAUCAUGCCCCUUAUGAUUUGGGCUACACACGUGCUACAAUGGCGUAAACAAAGGGAAGCGAAGCCGCGAGGUGAAGCAAAUCCCAAAAAUAACGUCCCAGUUCGGAUUGUAGGCUGCAACUCGCCUGCAUGAAGCUGGAAUCGCUAGUAAUCGCGAAUCAGAAUGUCGCGGUGAAUACGUUCCCGGGUCUUGUACACACCGCCCGUCACACCAUGGGAGUCGAUAACGCCCGAAGUCAGUGACCCAACCACAAGGAGGGAGCUGCCGAAGGCGGGAUUGAUAACUG
rnacentral:rRNA from 1 species